UACGUAGGGGGCGAGCGUUGUCCGGAAUUAUUGGGCGUAAAGAGCUUGUAGGCGGUUUGUCGCGUCUGCUGUGAAAAUCCGGGGCUCAACCCCGGACUUGCAGUGGGUACGGGCAGACUAGAGUGCGGUAGGGGAGAUUGGAAUUCCUGGUGUAGCGGUGGAAUGCGCAGAUAUCAGGAGGAACACCGAUGGCGAAGGCAGAUCUCUGGGCCGUAACUGACGCUGAGGCACAAAAGCGUGGGGAGCAAACAGGA
rnacentral:rRNA from 1 species